rnacentral:misc_RNA from 1 species
UCGCGGCUUAUCACCGGCAGUCCCCUUAGAGUGCCCAACUGAAUGAUGGCAACUAAGGGCGAGGGUUGCGCUCGUUGCGGGACUUAACCCAACAUCUCACGACACGAGCUGACGACAGCCAUGCACCACCUAUCGCAGGCCCUUGCGGACACCACAUCUCUGUGGCUUUUCCUGCGUAGUUCAACCCAGGUAAGGUUCUUCGCGUUGCAUCGAAUUAAUCCACAUAAUCCACCGCUUGUGCGGGUCCCCGUCAAUUCCUUUGAGUUUUAACCUUGCGGCCGUACUCCCCAGGCGGUCAACUUCACGCGUUAGCUUCGUUACCAAGGAAUUGCUUCCCCGACAACCAGUUGACAUAGUUUACGGCGUGGACUAC